ACAGGGAUUGCCUUAGUAGCGGCGAGUGAAGCGGCAAUAGCUCAAAUUUGAAAUCUGGCACCUUCGGUGUCCGAGUUGUAAUUUGAAGAAGGUAUCUUUGGUUUUGGCUCUUGUCUAUGUUCCUUGGAACAGGACGUCACAGAGGGUGAGAAUCCCGUGCGAUGAGAUGCCCAAUUCCAUGUAAAGUUCCUUCGACGAGUCGAGUUGUUUGGGAAUGCAGCUCUAAGUGGGUGGUAAAUUCCAUCUAAAGCUAAAUAUUGGCGAGAGACCGAUAGCGAACAAGUACUGUGAAGGAAAGAUGAAAAGAACUUUGAAAAGAGAGUGAAAAAGUACGUGAAAUUGUUGAAAGGGAAGGGCUUGAGAUUAGACUUGGAAUUUUCCAUUUAUGGAGCUUUCCGGGCCAGCAUCAGUUUGGAUGGCAGGAUAAUUGCGUUGGAAAGUAGCACCACUUCGGUGGUGUGUUAUAGACUUCGUCGAUACUGCCUAUCUAGACUGAGGACCGCGUCUUUGACUAGGAUGC
rnacentral:rRNA from 1 species